rnacentral:rRNA from 1 species
CCUACGGGAGGCAGCAGUGAGGAAUAUUGGUCAAUGGACGAGAGUCUGAACCAGCCAAGUAGCGUGAAGGAUGACUGCCCUAUGGGUUGUAAACUUCUUUUAUAAAGGAAUAAAACGAGGCACGUGUGCCUUUUUGCAUGUACUUUAUGAAUAAGGAUCGGCUAACUCCGUGCCAGCAGCCGCGGUAAUACGGAGGAUCCGAGCGUUAUCCGGAUUUAUUUGGUUUAAAGGGAGCGUAGAUGGGUUGUUAAGUCAGUUGUGAAAGUUUGCGGCUCAACCGUAAAAUUGCAAUUGAUACUGGCAGUCUUGAGUACAGUUGAGGUAGGCGGAAUUCGUGGUGUAGCGGUGAAAUGCUUAGAUAUCACGAAGAACUCCGAUUGCGAAGGCAGCUUACUAAACUGCCACUGACAUUGAUGCUCGAAAGUGUGGGUAUCAAACAGGAUUAGAUACCCCUGUAGUC